rnacentral:rRNA from 1 species
UACAGAGGGUGCAAGCGUUAAUCGGAUUUACUGGGCGUAAAGCGUGCGUAGGCGGUUCAGUGUGUCGGUUGUGAAAUCCCCGGGCUUAACCUGGGAACUGCAUCCGAAACUGCUGGGCUAGAGUGUGGUAGAGGGCGGUGGAAUUCCAGGUGUAGCGGUGAAAUGCGUAGAUAUCUGGAGGAACACCGAUGGCGAAGGCAGCCGCCUGGGCCACAACUGACGCUGAGGCACGAAAGCGUGGGUAGCAAACAGG